GCCCUUAGUACCAAUAACUAUAUCGGUCCCACUAGGCCAACCCCCCCCCCCACCUCACCACAGAGGUUCGCCCAACGGCCCAAAUCAUAGUUAGCCGCCUCGCACUCCCGUCUACAGGGCUCCAGUCAGGGCCUCACAAGUCACGGCCACACAUAUUAUAGAGUUUGGAAGUAUUAGAUAGUGGGCGAUACCUUUUAGAGUGAGUGCAAUAUUAGAACACCCAUGAAGGUGUUUAUAGG